UAUUUCGUGUUGCUAUUGUUUACUCCGAUUCAGGCACUAGGAAUGAAUAUUACAUUCAUUCGAGCAUAAUAGUUCACCAUGUUACCUUUCCUGUCCUACUUUUAUGUUAGAGUUAUCUCAACAGUAUAUUUCGUUUACUUGUUACCCUUUGUGUUGCUAUUUCGCUAAUUUAUUCUCUUCUGUGAUAUUAAGGUGUACAGUUGACAACAACCCACGGUGGUGUUGCACAUAUAUUCUUGAGGCAUCUGAUCCCUUAUUUGUGGAAAUUGGGAAGUCUUUUAUUGAAGAACAAAUCAAAGGUCUGUACUUCUAAAAUGAUAUUGAGUGAUCGAGGUUGAUUUCGAAGAUUAUGUCUGUAGGCCCGGAUAAAAUUAGCAAGUUAUGUGAUUGUCUGGAUAUGUUGGAUUGAAGAUUUUGUAAGUUAGAUUGUCUGGAUAUGUCAUUGUGUCGUGCAACGAUGAGAUCAUGUUGAGAUUUGCCUUUAUAGUGUACUGCUGGAUAUGUUGGUUGCAGACCAUGUUCAGAUUUGCCUUUAUAGUGUACUAUUGCAUAUGUUGAAUUUGCAGGCAACUGCAGCUGUAACAUGUUCAGAUUUGCCUUUAUUUGUGCUGCUGGAACAUGUUGCUUGCAGAACAUGUUGGUACUUUCCAUUGCAGUGUAUUAUUUGUUGCAGAACAAGUUGUAAUAUGCUGGAACAUAUUGCUUGCAUAAUUGUCAUUAGUUGGAAACUGUUUGCUGCAGAAAUGUGCCUCUAGGUCCAUUUGGAAGCACUAGAUUCUGCCUUGAAUUCUAUUUGCUGGCAUUUAUAAAAAUGCCUUGGUUACAAA